rnacentral:lncRNA from 1 species
CGCUGGAUAAAGCAAGCAUUGGAAGAAGGGAUGACUCAAACAUCAUCUGUACCCCAAGAGACCAGAACUCAGCACCUAUACCAAAGUAAUGAGAAUAGUAAUUCCUCUAGUAUCUGCAAAGACAAUGCAGACUUGUUGAGCCCAUUAAAGAAAUGGAAGUCUCGCUAUCUGAUGGAGCAGAAUGUCACCAAGUUACUUCAGCCUCUGUCUCCAGUUACACCACCCCCUCCUGGUUCAGGCUCAAAGAGCCCCCAGCUGACCACACCUGGCCACACUCACCCAGAAGAGGAAUGUCGAAAUGGAUACAGUCUCAUGUUCUCCCCAAUCGCAUCUCUCACCACUGCUAGUCGCUGCAACACUCCUCUGCAGUUUGAGCUUUGUCACCGAAAAGACCUGGAUUUGACAAAAGUAGGAUACCUUGACUCCAACACUAACAGCUGUACUGACAAACCUUCCCUGCUCAACUCAGGUCCUUCUGACCUGGCUCCUCAUCCCUCCAUUGGGCCUGCCUCAGAGACUGGAUUCCCAAACAGGAGUGGAGAUGGACAUCAGACCCUCAUGAGAAACUCAGACCAGGCAUUUCGGACAGAGUUCAACUUGAUGUAUGCCUACUCCCCUUUGAACGCAAUGCCUCGUGCAGAUGGAUUAUAUAGGGGGUCUCCCCUAGUGGGGGAUAGGAAACCUUUACAUUUGGAUGGAGGAUAUUGUUCCCCUGCCGAAGGGUUUCCCAGCAGAUAUGAACAUGGCUUUAUGAAAGACCUCGCUCGUGGAUCCAUGUCACCUGGUGGCGAAAGGGCCUGUGAUGGAACUACUCCCCUUUGAACGCAAUGCCUCGUGCAGAUGGAUUAUAUAGGGGGUCUCCCCUAGUGGGGGAUAGGAAACCUUUACAUUUGGAUGGAGGAUAUUGUUCCCCUGCCGAAGGGUUUCCCAGCAGAUAUGAACAUGGCUUUAUGAAAGACCUCGCUCGUGGAUCCAUGUCACCUGGUGGCGAAAGGGCCUGUGAAGGAGUUCCAUCUGCCCCACAGAACCCACCACAGAGGAAAAAGGUGUCCCUGCUGGAGUACCGUAAACGGAAACAAGAAGCCAAGGAGAAUUCUGCUGGUGGGGGAGGUGACUCAGCGCAGAACAAAAGCAAGUCUGCAGGAGCUGGGCAAGGCAGCAGUAACUCUGUUUCUGACACUGGCGCCCAUGGCAUGCAGGGAUCCUCAGCCCGAACCCCAUCAUCCCCUCACAGAAAAUUCUCCCCAUCUCAUUCCUCUGUGUCCCACUUGGAGGCAGUAAGCCCAUCAGAUUCCAGAGGCACUUCUUCAUCUCACUGCAGACCUCAAGAGAAUAUCAGCAGCAGGUGGAUGGUUCCCACAUCAGUGGAACGACUCCGAGAAGGAGGGAGCAUUCCUAAAGUCCUCCGGAGCAGUGUGAGAGUCGCCCAAAAGGGGGAGCCCUCUCCCACAUGGGAGAGUAACAGCACAGAGAAAGACUCAGAUCCUGCAGAUGGAGAAUGCCCAGACACAUUGAGUUCAGCGCUCUCUAAAGGAGCAACCGUUUACAGCCCUUCCAGAUACAGCUACCAGCUCCUGCAGUGUGACAGUCCACGGACAGAAUCACAAAUCCUCCUUCAGCAGAGUUCCUCCCCUUUUAGAGGACAUCCCACUCAGUCUCCAGGAUACAGUUAUCGAACUACUGCACUGAGACCUGGAAAUCCCCCCUCUCACAGUUCUUCAGAAUCAUCCCUCUCUUCAGCAUCCUUUCCCAGCCCCGCCCACCCUGCGUCCACAGACUCAUUGGCCCCAUUUACGGGGACACCAGGGUAUUAUAGCAGCCAGCCACAUUCUGGAAACAGCACUGGCAGCAGUCUUCCGAGGAAGAGCUGUCAUUCUAGUGCUGCUAGCCCUACCCUGCAGGGCCCCUCAGACUCGCCAACCUCAGACUCAGUUUCUCAGUCCAGCACAGGAACUUUGAGUUCCACCUCCUUUCCUCAGAACUCUAGGUCGUCAUUGCCAUCAGACUUACGGACUAUCAGUCUGCCCAGUGCUGGGCAGUCAGCUGCCUACCAGGCCUCCAGGGUAUCUGCGGUUUCCAAUUCACAGCACUACCCACACCGCGGGAGUGGGAGUGUGCACCAGUACCGACUCCAGCCACUGCAAGGGUCGGGAGUCAAGACUCAGACAGGACUUUCCUAGGGCUUCUGGAUAUGGGCAAACUGAACUGAAUGAGCCCAUAGCUGCUUCCUUCCAGCUGCCUCUGGAACCUCGGCCGAGCAUAUUGCUGGGGAAGGGGGGAUACAAGGCGCCAGAGGAUUGGGUCUGGUCAACAAGAAACAAGACUUGUGGUCGUGACUGGCCUCUGGCCUUGGAGAAAGAUGUAAAUCUUGUCUGAAGCAAAGACUAUAAAGUUUCUCCCUGCUGUUAAGGGUACAUUGUUGACAAGCAAAUGGUGUUUCAGUUAGUAACAGUUCUAAGUGCAAUGAGUUGUGUUGAAGCCUCUGUCUCCCAUCCUUGCCUGUAGCCAGUAGUCACUUGUGCAGUGAGGACAUCUUUUUAAAUUUAAAAAAAAAAAAAAGUUUUUAUUUCAAAAGAAAAAAGUGAGAAGAGCCAAUCUCAGAGCCCCAAGCCAUCCAAGUAGUGUUAGGGUUUUAUGCACUUGAGAAAAAUGGUAGGUAUGUAAAUGUUCACCUUAAAAGAACCAUUCCAAAAGCAGAUGUCUGGCUAAGGUGUGUCCACCCAGAGUACUUCUUACCUUUGUCUUAAAACCAGGAAAUGGGCAGGGAUAAUAAAGCUUGGAGCUUGCUCUGACUGAGGGUUGCCUGGCUUUCUGAAAAAGAGCUUAUGGUCAGCUCUUGAUUAUUUGGGAGCAGAUUAUGUGAGGAGAUUUGAGCCCCAGAUGUUACCAUUCCACUUGUCUUCCCAAACUGUUUCACAGUUUUGAAACCCAUGGCGUAACUAGACAAAAGUGGAAUGAGAAGUGAUUCCCAGUGAAAUCAGUUACAUCUUUUGGUAAUUCAAUAAGGAAGGAUCUCAAGUGGUCUGGGACUUCUUUGUAUUUUCUGUUCUACUCCCAGUUAAUCAGAAGUUGGAUCCCAUGAGUAGCACCGCCUCCGUGAUUGGAGAGCACGUACUCGUGACUGCAGGGUAAGAGUGGGAAGAUAGGUUUGUGGAGUGGCACCGACAAGACUGUGAUUGUGUGUGGGCUUGCCCCACUUUUCUUUGGGGGAUGCUUAUGUGAGAGUGGGCUGAUGAGAGAGUUAGCAAGCCACCCACACCCCUAACACUGUUCUGGAUGAGACAGAGCAGACUGGCUUCUCCCCAUCAGUGCAUUGUGCCUGUUGUACACCCCUGGAGGUGCCCUGGAGCCAGCCCAGGUGGGGUACACAAUCUUUUUAAAUUCCAUAUGGUUGCCAGCUUAUUUCUUUCACUUGUUUACUGUAAUACCCGGCGUGUUUUUAUUUAUCUUAAUUUUGUAUUCAGUUAUAACCAUGGUAGGGGUAGUAAAUAUAUGACAGGUGUGAUCCCUGGUGCUGCAGUGGACCUUCUUUUCUUUUGGACAAGAUAAUACUGUGAGUCUCCCUCCUUCUAAUUUGUUCUUUUUCCCCAGCCUCUUGCAUCCUUUUUUUUCUACCCUGUCUUACAACUAUCAUAUGCACAGUCUUCUCUCUUUGUGUGUGACUGUUACAAAAUUUCACUUUGCAAAAUUGAAAAUCAGGUGUUUGCUCAAAUGAGGGGAGAUUUUCUUUUUAAUGCUGAGACCUCAGCAGAGUACUCUUCUUUUUGUUUCCCCCACAAACCCAUCAGUCUGGGAGAGCAUUGGGAGUGGAAAUCAUGUUGCCUGGGAUGCCGGUUUCUUUGUAUAUUAUAUAACAUGUAUGUAAAUGUCUCUCCAUUUGGGCUGGGGUUUGCAUUCUCCCCUUGGCUGUUAACCAAGGGGCGAGGCCAGCGGGCAGGCAGCCCUCACCCUGCCUGGCACGUGCAGGGACCCCAGCCACUCUGUGUGGGCAGGGUGCUGUCAAGACCAGACCUCCUGGGGGGGGGGAAUGGGGGGGAACUCUUGGAAGGGAAGAAGUAUCACUUCUUUCUCAAAUGGAGUGUUUACACCUUGCUGUAACAUUUGAACUUUCACAAGAGAUGUAAUAAUUUUGAUAAUAAAAUUCUUAACCAUAAUAAUCAUAAAGUUGAGAACUUCUUUGUUCUGUCCUGUGACCUUACCCCUUGCCUAGUUUUGCUAAUGUUUUCCUUACCUGAUGAAGCCAAGGUGGAUCCCUGUUCAGGA